rnacentral:rRNA from 1 species
UUCCUNUAAGAUUUGGAGGUAAAGCCUGCUCACUGAAUUUUAAAGAGCCGCAGUAUUUUGACUGUGCUAAGGUAGCAUAAUCAUUAGUCUUUUAAUUGAGGACUGGUAUGAAUGGCUAAACGAGAGAUCGACUUUUUUUAUUGCAAUUUUUCUAAUUUUAUUUUUUAGUGAAAAAGCUAAAAUCCUCCAGAAAGACGAGAAGACCCUAUAGAGUUUUAUACGGUGAAAAAUUAAAUUGUAGUAGAUUUUAUAUAAUUUGUUUUGUAUCUGUAAUUUGUUGGGGCGACGUUAAGAUACACAAAACUCUUUUUUUUUAAGACUUAAAUUUAAGUUAGAUAGUGACCCUCUAUAAGGGAUCAUAAGAAAAAAUUACCUUAGGGAUAACAGCGUAAUCUUUUUUGAGAGUUCUAAUCGACAAAAAGGUUUGCGACCUCGAUGUUGGACUAAAAUUUAGACGUGGUGCAGUAGCUUCGUUUAGAGUCGUCGACCC